UGUCCGUGAUGAGAAGUAAAAGGUCUGACCUCAGACAAACCCCUCCAGCAGCCAUGUUGGCUCCCAGCAGCCCCUGCUCAGCCCAGCAUGCCACAGUUGUGCACUGCUGGUCCAGGAUCUGCUGACAUGCAGGAUGUGACAUCACAAGCAGCCUGUAGGGAGCGCUCACAGGCUGGCUGAGUAACAUCCAACACAAAUGACCAGGGAGGAGCACCAGGCUCAGGGGGGAAUCUGAUUGGUGAUCGCACUCUUCUGCUGAGACC